rnacentral:rRNA from 1 species
AACGAACGCUGGCGGCAUGCCUAACACAUGCAAGUCGAACGAGAUCUUCGGGUCUAGUGGCGCACGGGUGCGUAACGCGUGGGAAUCUGCCCUUUGGUUCGGAAUAACAGUUGGAAACGACUGCUAAUACCGGAUGAUGACGAAAGUCCAAAGAUUUAUCGCCAGAGGAUGAGCCCGCGUAGGAUUAGCUAGUUGGUGUGGUAAAGGCGCACCAAGGCGACGAUCCUUAGCUGGUCUGAGAGGAUGAUCAGCCACACUGGGACUGAGACACGGGCCAGACUCCUACGGGAGGCAGCAGUGGGGAAUAUUGGACAAUGGGCGAAAGCCUGAUCCAGCAAUGCCGCGUGAGGGAUGAAGGCCUUAGGGUUGUAAAGCUCUUUUACCCGGGAUGAUAAUGACAGUACCGGGAGAAUAAGCUCCGGCUAACUCCGUGCCAGCAGCCGCCGUAA